CCAUGGUGUCAGACUAAAGGCAAACA
rnacentral:piRNA from 1 species